AGAUUGAACGCUAGCGGGAUGCUUUACACAUGCAAGUCGAACGGCAGCGCGGACUUCGGUCUGGCGGCGAGUGGCGAACGGGUGAGUAAUAUAUCGGAACGUGCCCAGUAGCGGGGGAUAACUACGCGAAAGCGUGGCUAAUACCGCAUACGCCCUACGGGGGAAAGGGGGGGAUCGCAAGACCUCUCACUAUUGGAGCGGCCGAUAUCAGAUUGGCUAGUUGGUGAGGUAAAGGCUCACCAAGGCGACGAUCUGUAGCUGGUUUGAGAGGACGACCAGCCACACUGGGACUGAGACACCGGCCCAGACCUCCUACGGGAGGCAGCAGGUGGGUAAUUUGGACAAGUGGGGGAAACCCUGACUCCAGCCAGUCCCGCGUGUGCGAUGGAGGUCCGUUGGUUGUAAGCGUACUUUGUCGAGGAAGGAACGGACGUCGACCUAAGUACCGGUACGU
rnacentral:rRNA from 1 species